UAACGUGAUGAAUAACUCCAAUCCUGAUCAAUGAUGUAGUAACUCGCGACUGAAU
rnacentral:snoRNA from 1 species